rnacentral:lncRNA from 1 species
GGCGCGGCGCGGGCGGCGCGGGCGGAGCCGGCGGCCCGGGCUUGCCUCUGGCCGCACUUCGGGGCGGCCGGGUUGGACGGACUGCGGGGAAGCCGCGUUACCCCUUGCCUUCCCCAGUCCCAGACGCGGCCCUCUGGAGGCCUCCCCGGUCGGGGCCCUGCUGCCUCAGGGUCGGAAGCACGGAUGUCGGGCCGGGCCGUGACUUCGCCAGGCUUCACGCCCAACCUAAUGCGUUAGGUGUCCCUUUCCAGAUUGUAGGGAAUCGGGUCUCUCAGUGUCAGCCCCAGUACCUUUGCACUGGCUGUCUGCUCUACCUGGAACUCUUCCCCUCUGCUUGGACCUUCUUACUCCCACUUCCUGCAGGCUCAGAUGUCCGUCCCCUCAUUAGAUGUCAACUGAUCACUCUGUGGAAUAGGAACCACCCACUACCCGGCUCUUUCGCAGGCAGGCACCAGUCCUCAUCUGCUCUGUCGUUGUCAGAGCACCUACAUCCAGCACUACCUUACACUGUUGGCGUGUUUACUUCUGGACUGUCGGCUCCCUCCACUAGAAUGUUAGAUUCAGUCGAGCGGGGCCUUUGUUUUGUUCACUUCUGGAUCCCUGGUACAUAAUAAAAUACUUGAUGAGUGAGUGAGGCUUUGGAUAUUGUAAAGUGAGGAAUUCUUUUUUUUUUUUUUUUAAUUGUCUUUUUGCCUUUUUUAGGGCCGCUCCUGCGGCAUAUGGACGUCCCCAGGCUAGGGGUCUCAUCAGAGCUGUAGCCGCCGGCCUACACCACAGCCACAGCAACUCGGGAUCCGAGCCACAUCUUCGACCUACACUACAGCUCAUGGCAAUGCCAGAUCCUUAACCCACUGAGCGAGGCCAGGGAUUGAACCCUCAACCUCAUGGUUCCUAGUCAGAUUUGUGAACCGCUGAACCACGAUGGGAACUCCAGGAAUUCUUAUUAAAAGUACAAGAAGGGAAUGGGAUCUGGAGAAAGGAUCAAAGGGACAAAAGGGGUUAUAUUAAGGAUAUCUUUGAAGAAGUGGAUGGUGCUUAGUGUGGUAGGUUAAAAAUGGGCACCAAAGAGUUCCCGUUGUAGCUCAGCAGUAAUGAACCUGACUAGUAUCCAUGAGGACACAGGUUCAAUCCCUGGCUUCUCUCAGUGGGUUAAGGAUCCGGUGUUGCCAGUGAGCUAUGGCGUAGGCCGCAGACAAGGCUCGGAUCCUGCAUUGCUGUGGUUGUGCAUCUGCAGCUCCAAUUCGACCCCUAGCCUGGGAACUUCCAUAUGCAAUGGGUGUGGUCCUAAAAAGACAAAAAAAUAAAUAAGUAAAUAAAAUAGGCA